UGCUCCUGACCUGGGUAGAAUGGCAUCAGUCUAGUUGUGGUGAUCAUCUCAUUAGGUGGAGCAAAACGAUCCCUUGUUGAUCCCACCUUGACUUUUGGUCCCUGCCCAUUUCCUGUUUCAUGCCUAGGGCACAUGA
rnacentral:snoRNA from 1 species